GACCGCGUAGCUCAGUUGGCAGAGCAUUGGGCUAGUGUUCCAAAGGUCUAUAGUCGUAGGUUCGAUUCCAACCGUGGCCG